AUUGAACGCUGGCGGCAGGCCUAACACAUGCAAGUCGAGCGGAUGAGGGGUGCUUGCACCCUGAUUCAGCGGCGGACAGGUGAGUAAUGCCUAGGAAUCUGCCCGAUAGUGGGGGACAACGUUUCGAAAGGAACGCUAAUACCGCAUACGUCCUACGGGAGAAAGUGGGGGCUCUUCGGACCUCACGCUAUCGGAUGAGCCUAGGUCGGAUUAGCUAGUUGGUGGGGUAAAGGCUCACCAAGGCGACGAUCCGUAACUGGUCUGAGAGGAUGAUCAGUCACACUGGAACUGAGACACGGUCCAGACUCCUACGGGAGGCAGCAGUGGGGAAUAUUGGACAAUGGGCGGAAGCCUGAUCCAGCCAUGCCGCGUGUGUGAAGAAGGUCUUCGGAUUGUAAAGCACUUUAAGUCGGGAGGAAGGGCUGUAGGUUAAUACCUUGCAGCCUUGACGUUGCCGACAGAAUAAGCACCGGCUAACUUCGUGCCAGCAGCCGCCGUAACAC
rnacentral:rRNA from 1 species